CCCUACGGGACGCAGCAGUGAGGAUUAUUGGUCAAUGGGCGAGAGCCUGAACCAGCCAAGUCGCGUGAGGGAAGACGGUCCUAUGGAUUGUAAACCUCUUUUGCCGGGGAGCAAAAAGCGGUACGUGUACCGCAUCGAGAGUACCCGGAGAAAAAGCAUCGGCUCACUCCGUGCCAGCAGCCGCGGUAAUACGGAGGAUGCGAGCGUUAUCCGGAUUUAUUGGGUUUAAAGGGUGCGCAGGCGGACCAUCAAGUCAGCGGUAAAAUCGUGGGGCCCAACCCCAUCCCGCCGUUGAAACUGGCGGU
rnacentral:rRNA from 1 species